ensembl:lncRNA
AAACAAUGAUCUCAUUUUUAGGUGUUGGAUUUUGAGUUCUAACAAUACAGGGUAUGCCUUGAUUUUUGCAAAGGAGACAUUUAAAGGAGUCCUGCCCACAACCUCCCAGAAUGGUCGGCUCUGCAGCCAGAAGUCAAAGGACAUGACAGCACAAUAGCUCCUCACAGCCUCCAGUAAGACAGCAUCCACUGCCUCCAACCAUGCAAUGCCCCUCUGCGAGGAAGUCUCACCUCCAGGAAAUCCCACAGGGAGCCCUCAGCUGGCAUAGCGCUCAGUUGCCAUCCCGCACCUGCAGAAUGGGCCAGGCCUGGAUGUUGGGCAGGAAAGCCCUAAAAUAAAGCAUACACAGCUCAUGAAGAAAGGGCUAGUAAUAAUUUUCCAGGAAGUCAAAAAGACCAAGUGCCAAUAUUUGUUUUUUCCAGAAAUAUAGUUGGAAAACACCAUCUAAAUCAUGAGGAGAUCUUGACAGGAAAGAACUCUGGAAGCAGAGAAGAUAAGAGUGGACUCAUACAGGGGCAAAUGAUUGGCAUCUGGGUCCAUCGAUGAGCAGAGGAACUCGGCCCCCCGAUAAUGGAUUAUGUUGAUGAGCUGUGGCUAAUUUUGAACCAUGGCGCAGGGUGAGGUUGGGGCUGGGACAAGAAGAGUUCGCCAUUUCAACGCAAACAUCUUAUUUAAACUAGGAUCCAGAGCGCUUCGUCUGAUCUGAGUGUCGCAGGGACCAGACCCCGAGGGCAGCCCUUAGGCCUGGGCUCCAGGAUCCCAGAUGGCUGCAUCCUAAUAUCCUCAUCAUCGCAGAGGCUUAAUUAAAUGCCGUCAGACUGCCGAGGGCAGCAUUCUAAGACAGCCGCCAAAGUAGCUACUCCAAGACGGUCCUGAGUCUGGAGAGGCACCCGGGGUCACAGCAUUGUCUAUCUCUGUGUGGGGAAGAAAUCAGAAGCGCUCACUUAGCCAUUGUUAUGCAUAACAGGGAAGAGAGGAAAGAAGGCCUUCUGACUGAGAGACGCUUAGCUGUUCAGGACUCAAGGCGCAGGCGUUCUGGGAACAGCACUGAUUCAUUCGAGGACGUGCAGUCUAGUCAGUGAUGAGCAGCCUGGGGAGAUCUUCUCCAGGAGGAUGGGGAGCAAGAUCCACUUCCUGCCUUCUGGAAACGCUCGUCUUACUAUUGUUGCACCUUAGAUGCAAGAGGCAUGUGUCCUCGCCCUGGCCCUGCAGGGACCUGCUGUGUUCACCCUUCCCGCCCCGCUCUCUGCAGCUCCCUCUUAGAGAUGCUGUAUCGUGGGCCUGGGAUGGGCACUCAGGGAUGCUGAGGGCAAAGGACUCCAGAAGCACAUCAAAGGCAAUUGAAGGCCAGUACACCCACCAACAACCACCCUCAGACAGGUGGGUCUAGGAGACAGGAAGAUGAGGAGAAACAGUGAAUUUUAAACACAUUACUCAGAUGAUCAGAAAUCCCAUAACCACAAUCACAGAAUGUUAGAAAUCGUCUGAAUUAUCGAGUCCAACCUUCUUAUUUAUUUAAUAAAUAAACAUAUAAAGGAUGAUACCUGGGAAGGUAAGAUGAGAUUUUCCCAAAGGUCAUCCAUUAGAAAGACGCAGACAGGAGCGUAGAUCUCUUGGUAUCGGACUCGCCACCAGCUCUCUGAAGAACUCCAUUCCAUUGUCUUCCAUGCUAUAUUUUGGAUAAUUUAAGUGAAUCAAGACACUGAAAAUUAUUCGCAUUAGGAUAAAGCCCUACUUAACUCCCUAUCCCAGUCAGCUACGGCCUCACUCCCCGGAUUAAAAUUUAUUUGCUGCCAAAUAUAAAAAAGUACAAUAACU